AUGAAAAUCAAUUAUUGCUUGCCUCAGCAAAUUCCAUUACCAGGCACAGAAAGCGAGCAUACAUGCAUGAUGGAUCUAGCGGGAGUGUACUGUAUAGUACAUAUAUGAUAACUUGAAACAGUAUAGUGUUUCUCUCAGAUUGUGUUUGCCAUGCAUUUUGGGUGUUUAUGCAUCCAACUGAUGCACAGGCUGGUAUUAUAUAGGUGGGUUUCACUAAGUGUUAUACAACAUGGGGAACACAACUUUACAUUCAUGUAUUGAAGAAUUAUACCCACAUUACAUUGGGGGCUUGUCGUAGUCGUAUUAGCGACUACAUGUAUGUACGUAACGGUAAAUCGCGUGCAUUGGCAACCAUAGAGAAAAUAACCGAAACACAAUUGCGUUUCUUUUCAGAGGUGUUUAAAGUGCAGAACUAAUCUCCUAUUGACAGAUAUCUUCAGGCAAAUUGUAUUAUUGCCAGCUAGUCUACAAUUACAAAUAGUACACCGUUAUUGUGACUUUGUCUUUGGCACUUUUAAAUAUGUAUGCGAUGAUAUUGUAAGUCGUUAGUAUUAUUACCUAUGUGCAAUCCAAUGGCAGUAUAAUUAUAGCCAGUAAAGCAGUUAUUAUUAGAGGCAAAUGAUUUUGACAGUUGAAAUAUUUCCACUUCAAUGUACAAUUGCCCUUAGCAUUGCCCUAUUCAUAUAUAUAAAGAAUAUUGCGGAUUUACGAGAUGUAUGAAUUCCUUUCUGGCUUGCGAGUUGUGACCUGAUGACUGACCGAGGUCUGCAAAACAUCAACUAAUAAACUGUAUACAUGCAUGAAGUCAUUCAGUCACAUUUUUUCCUGAGAAGAGCGUGGGGAACCCAUCUUCUCUUCGAAUCUUGCUACGAGAAAUAGUUGCGUAUGCGAGUAUAUUAGUAUAACUAUAGUCCCGUUCAGUCACACUCAAUAUUAACAACACCAAGUACUUGCCUAAGCAUGCAAAUUUAAAAGCGGCAGCCCGUAAGAUUCAGCAAUUUUUUCUUAUGCUUACGUCUCGAUAAUGAUAUUAAUGAGGCCAUAAGUCCGCCUUCGUUCCCAGAUGCAGGUCAACUAAAAUGACGUGUUUAUAUAUAUACGCCGUGUAUAUGAUAUGUGUAGGGUAAAACUAUUGCGCAAAUUGGUUAUAUGACACUCCAAAAGUGCGGGAUUUUCCCCAGCGAGAUUAAUGAAAAAUAACUGAGUAAUCUUAUUAUACAUAGCUCGUGAUGCGACGCAGAUGCAGUUUUUCGAGUUAUUCGACUCACAAGUCACAAUAGCACCAUAGUUCUUAGUAAAUACACAGCCAUGUGUGGCUUGAAUUUAAGGAAAGUAAGAUAAAGCUGUGUGUAAGCCAUGGUAUAUGUAUGGUGUAUAGUGUAACAAAAUAUACAUCUGCACAAAGAAAACAUUUAAUUUGCUACAGCAUAACCUUUCUAGUUGGGUUCUGGUGAGGUCGGUUUAUAUAUGAACAUCUCAAUCAUUUUAACUAGGAUAAACCGUCCUUAUAACUAGGAUAAACCGUCCUUGCAACUAGGAUAAUAAAACCGUCCUUAUAUUAUGACAAACCAUCCUCAUAUAACAAGAAAAACCACGUCUUU